rnacentral:sRNA from 1 species
UCAGAAUUAACCAUUAAGCUGCCGUGCC